CAUCCUCUUGGGCCUCUGGUCGUCUUCCAUGCCUAGCAUCAUAGGGAAAAACAGCUGGAGCAAUUGAAGUUAGGGUUAAGGAUCUCAAGGGCUUGGACUUCUCAGAGAUGAAGAUCUGGAUCACUCCAUCAGGCAAGCAACGAAGACCAGAUGAAAUGCUGCUUGAAGGGCUGGCAUAUCUAGAAUUGGUGGUAGAAAUAACAAAUAAAGAAACUGGAGCAGAAAAUCAGUCACAUUAAAUUUACCACCAUUCAAAAAGCCAAGAGGAAACUUUAUUGAAGAGAUACG
rnacentral:lncRNA from 1 species